rnacentral:rRNA from 1 species
GUCUAUGGCCAUACCACCCUGAAAGUGCCCCAUCUCAUCUGAUCUCGGAGGCUAAGCAGGGUCAGGCCUGGUUAGUACUUGGAUGGGAGAUGCUGCAGUCA